rnacentral:lncRNA from 1 species
CACCAGCCCAACUAACCCUGUCCUAGCCUACCUCACCAGCCCAACUAACCCUGUCCUAGCCUACCUCACCAGCCCAACUAACCCUGUCCUAGCCUACCCUUGCAGCCCCACCUUACCCUAUUCUCCCGGUGCCAUGACCCCACUCUCCCCUCAUUGUGCUUCUGUUUUUCGGUGACAGCUGUGCAGAGCGGACCAGAAGAAG